UAUUUCAUGUUUGUGAUUAAAAAAAAAAAAAAAAAAAAAAAAAAAAAAAAAAAAAAAAAAGAAAAGAUUGUAUACAAAGAAAAUAAAAAGUUUUUAAAGUUUCAGUUUAAGGGUGUGGUUGGAGGUGCUAGAAGAAUUGCUGGAAAGAUUGAGUUCUUAUAAAUCUAAACAAAAGAAUUGCUUGCAAUGUAGCUUGGAACUUGUGUUUUCCUAUUCUUUCAUUUCAAUAACCCUCUCCCUAAACCUCAUUACAUCCAAUAAAAGUCCUCUUGAUUUAAGUUUUGCAAUUAUGAUUGUGGAGAAGUGAUCUUUAUGCAAGCUUAUGGUAGAAAUUUCACAUUUGAUUCUUUGAGCGAAACACAUUAAAACUAAACACAUAUGUGAUUGAGUGUAUAUCCCGUGAGAAGGUUACUAGUUUGCAUAUGAUGAUUUUAAAAAUAAAAACUUGAAAUUGCAUUAGCAUGGCUAUCUCACACACUACACUUCAAGGAUGAUUUAAAGAUUACUGCUAAUAUUUGAAUAAGGAAG
rnacentral:lncRNA from 1 species